CUCUUAGAUGUUCUGGGCCGCACGCGUGCUACACUGAGUGGAUCAGCGGGUCAGGUUGCGCGAAAGUGUUUCCUAAUCUUUAAAUCCGCUCGUGAUGGGGAUUGACGGUUGCAAUUUUCCGUCAUGAACGAGGAAUACCUUGUAAGCGCGGGUCAUCAUCCCGCGCUGAAUACGUCCCUGCCCUUUGUACACACCGCCCGUCGCUCCUACCGAUUGAGUGGUCCGGUGAGGCUUUGGGAUCUGGGCGGAAAGAGCGUUUCGCUGUUUCUGCCCGGAAAACUCAGUCGAACCUUAUCAUUUAGAGGAAGGAGAAGUCGUAACA
rnacentral:rRNA from 1 species